rnacentral:lncRNA from 1 species
AUAAUGCCAUGCCUGGAACUUAUUUUCAAGCAGAGAAAAUCUCGUUUCCAUCGUGUCAAUGUCACGCCCUAAGCGAGGAGACAUUAGCUCUCGAGUCUCGACUUUCACUGCAGUGGAGAAAAGAAACCUUGGGCAUACGUGCAUAAUUGUCACUAGCGGAAGUUCAAGCCGGAUCCCUGGUAGAUGUUCAGGGCUCAGUCAGCAUAGUGAAGGACAUUCGCGCAACGCAACUCAGCGCUAAGCACUAAUCUACAUGACAUUUCCCGAGAGCAGCAGCAGACGGAGGAUCGGCGAGGGGCGGGUUGGUCUCCGAGCCUCCUAGUUCGUCGGCGAGGUUGGUCUCCGUUGUGCAAACCGGUCCGGUGUCCUCCAAUGGCUGCUGC